rnacentral:misc_RNA from 1 species
AAGUCGUAACAAGGUUUCCGUAGGUGAACCUGCGGAAGGAUCAUUAAUGAAUAACUAUGGUGUUGGUUGUUGCUGGCUUCUAGGAGCAUGUGCACGCCCACCAUUCUUAUCUUUCCACCUGUGCACUUUAUGUAGGUCUGGGUAACUCUCGCCUAUGAGCGGAUACAGGGAUUGUUGCGUGCGACUCUCCUUGAAUUUCCAGAUCUAUGUAUUUUACAUACCCCAAUUGAAUAAUGAAGAAUGUAGUCAAUGGGCUAUAAGCCUAUAUAAAACACAAUACAACUUUCAGCAACGGAUCUCUUGGCUCUC